CAAUCAAAUCAUUCGCAUCCUCAUAUAUGUUGAGAAUACGGCUCAACGUCUCUACCUGUCACCGUAAAUGACGGACUAUGAGGGAAGAUGAUCAUGAA
rnacentral:ncRNA from 2 species